rnacentral:tRNA from 1 species
GCCGGAAUAGCUCAACUGGUAGAGCAACGGUUUUGUAAACCGUAGGUUGGGGGUUCAAGUCCCUCUUCCGGCACCC